rnacentral:rRNA from 1 species
AGAGUUUGAUCAUGGCUCAGAGCGAACGCUGGCGGCAGGCUUAACACAUGCAAGUCGAACGGGCACUUCGGUGCUAGUGGCAGACGGGUGAGUAACACGUGGGAACGUACCUUUCGGUUCGGAAUAAUCCAGGGAAACUUGGACUAAUACCGGAUACGCCCUUCGGGGGAAAGAUUUAUCGCCGAUAGAUCGGCCCGCGUCUGAUUAGCUAGUUGGUGAGGUAAUGGCUCACCAAGGCGACGAUCAGUAGCUGGUCUGAGAGGAUGAUCAGCCACAUUGGGACUGAGACACGGCCCAAACUCCUACGGGAGGCAGCAGUGGGGAAUAUUGGACAAUGGGCGAAAGCCUGAUCCAGCCAUGGCCGCGUGAGUGAUGAAGGCCUUAGGGUUGUAAAGCUCUUUUGUCCGGGAAGAUAAUGACUGUACCGGAAGAAUAAGCCCCGGCUAACUUCGUGCCAGCAGCCGCGGUAAUACGAAGGGGGCUAGCGUUGCUCGGAAUCACUGGGCGUAAAGGGCGCGUAGGCGGACUUUUAAGUCGGGGGUGAAAGCCCAGGGCUCAACCCUGGAAUUGCCUUCGAUACUGAGAGUCUUGAGUUCGGAAGAGGUUGGUGGAAUUGCGAGUGUAGAGGUGAAAUUCGUAGAUAUUCGCAAGAACACCAGUGGCGAAGGCGGCCAACUGGUCCGAUACUGACGCUGAGGCGCGAAAGCGUGGGGAGCAAACAGGAUUAGAUACCCUGGUAGUCCACGCCGU